AUUGACUAAGGUUUCCAGAGGAAGGCUCGUCCGCUCUGGGUUAGUCGGGUCCUAAGCUGAGGCCGACAGGCGUAGGCGAUGGAUAACAGGUUGAUAUUCCUGUACCACCUAUAAUCGUUUUAAUCGAUGGGGGGACGCAGUAGGAUAGGCGAAGCGUGCGAUUGGAUUGCACGUCUAAGCAGUAAGGCUGAGUAUUAGGCAAAUCCGGUACUCGUUAAGGCUGAGCUGUGAUGGGGAGAAGACAUUGUGUCUUCGAGUCGUUGAUUUCACACUGCCGAGAAAAGCCUCUAGAUAGAAAAUAGGUGCCCGUACCGCAAACCGACACAGGUAGUCAAGAUGAGAAUUCUAAGGUGAGCGAGCGAACUCUCGUUAAGGAACUCGGCAAAAUGACCCCGUAACUUCGGGAGAAGGGGUGCUCUUUAGGGUUAACGCCCAGAAGAGCCGCAGUGAAUAGGCCCAAGCGACUGUUUAUCAAAAACACAGGUCUCUGCUAAACCGUAAGGUGAUGUAUAGGGGCUGACGCCUGCCCGGUGCUGGAAGGUUAAGAGGAGUGGUUAGCUUCUGCGAAGCUACGAAUCGAAGCCCCAGUAAACGGCGGCCGUAACUAUAACGGUCCUAAGGUAGCGAAAUUCCUUGUCGGGUAAGUUCCGACCCGCACGAAAGGCGUAACGAUUUGGGCACUGUCUCAACGAGAGACUCGGUGAAAUCAUAGUACCUGUGAAGAUGCAGGUUACCCGCGACAGGACGGAAAGACCCCGUGGAGCUUUACUGUAGCCUGAUAUUGAAAUUCGGCACAGCUUGUACAGGAUAGGUAGGAGCCUUUGAAACGUGAGCGCUAGCUUACGUGGAGGCGCUGGUGGGAUACUACCCUAGCUGUGUUGGCUUUCUAACCCGCACCACUUAUCGUGGUGGGAGACAGUGUCAGGCGGGCAGUUUGACUGGGGCGGUCGCCUCCUAAAAGGUAACGGAGGCGCUCAAAGGUUCCCUCAGAAUGGUUGGAAAUCAUUCAUAGAGUGUAAAGGCAUAAGGGAGCUUGACUGCGAGACCUACAAGUCGAGCAGGGUCGAAAGACGGACUUAGUGAUCCGGUGGUUCCGCAUGGAAGGGCCAUCGCUCAACGGAUAAAAGCUACCCCGGGGAUAACAGGCUUAUCUCCCCCAAGAGUUCACAUCGACGGGGAGGUUUGGCACCUCGAUGUCGGCUCAUCGCAUCCUGGGGCUGUAGUCGGUCCCAAGGGUUGGGCUGUUCGCCCAUUAAAGCGGUACGCGAGCUGGGUUCAGAACGUCGUGAGACAGUUCGGUCCCUAUCCGUCGUGGGCGUAGGAAAUUUGAGAGGAGCUGUCCUUAGUACGAGAGGACCGGGAUGGACAUACCUCUGGUGUACCAGUUGUCGUGCCAACGGCAUAGCUGGGUAGCUAUGUGUGGACGGGAUAAGUGCUGAAAGCAUCUAAGCAUGAAGCCCCCCUCAAGAUGAGAUUUCCCAACUUCGGUUAUAAGAUCCCUCAAAGAUGAUGAGGUUAAUAGGUUCGAGGUGGAAGCAUGGUGACAUGUGGAGCUGACGAAUACUAAUCGAUCGAAGACUUAAUCAAAA
rnacentral:rRNA from 1 species